rnacentral:tRNA from 1 species
ACCUUCGUGGUGUAGUGGUCAACACUCUCGGCUCGUAUUCGAGAGGUCCGUGGUUCGAUUCCCGACGAGGAUA